rnacentral:rRNA from 1 species
UAGCGUAGGGUGCAAGCGUUAAUUGGAAUUACUGGGCGUAAAGCGUGCGCAGGCGGUUAUGUAAGACAGAUGUGAAAUGCCCGGGCUUAACCUGGGAACUGCAUUUGUGACUGCAUGGCUAGAGUUUGGCAGAGGGGGGUAGAAUUCCACGUGUAGCAGUGAAAUGCGUAGAUAUGUGGAGGAACACCGAUGGCGAAGGCAGCCCCCCUGGGUCAAGACUGACGCUCAUGCACGAAAGCGUGGGGAGCAAACAGG